rnacentral:lncRNA from 12 species
CCCGGUCCGGCCCCAGGGCCCGGUUCACCUGGACGCGGCCUCCCGGGCGCUGCGGGCUUCACGGGGCCCGUGGGAAUCAGACCAAAGCAUCAGACAGUUGAGUUCAAGGACCAGGUCUCGGGGCUUCCCCGUGCCCGCCGCUGACGACCCUGGGCCUACUGCCCCGUCCCGACCUGGAACAGUGCCAUUUUGGAUAUUCUCCUGGACUUUUCUGAAAACCCUGAGACUAAACAUACUCUGUCAGCCUCCCUGGUCUGCACUCCACCAUGUGGACAGGUCCAAUUCAGGGAUGUUCCAAUUGUGGAAUGAAUUGGUCAGGUAUGUGAUGUUCUGUAGAAGAAUUAAUCAUCUUUUGAGCAAUGUCAGAGAAUACAUUUAUUUCACUCUUCACUUUUUCCUUUAUAAAAUAUUAAUAUUAAUAUAUUAUAAACUAUAUUAAACUAUUUUAUCUUCUACAGUUCAAACAAUGACUUUCAUACCAUUAUCAGAUCGGAUAUUGAAAAAUAUAUUGAAAUUUAGGAAUUGAUAGUCAGAGAGGUCUUCAGCAGGAGGUAGACUUGAACUCAAGUCAUCUCUCACUCCAAAAUAUUCUUUCCAUCAUGUGAUAGCUGUAAGACCUUAUAACAAAGAUCUCAAAGAUGAAUCAGGCAUCAACUCCCAAAGAAGUAUACAAUCCUCAGGUGAGAUCACUGGCCAUAUUUCAAGGUAGAACUUGGAAGUACCAUCAGAGAAAUACAAAUAACUUGCAAUGACUGAUUUCCACCUGGGGGAGGAAGAGUCUUCAUAGAUUGGUGAAGGAAAAGGACUUUUAGGAUACCAAGAAUUUGGAGAUUUGGGUUGUAGAGGAAGACUACUUUGAGUUGAAGAAAGGACAGAAGCAAGCACAGGGUUUGGGUUGUGGAUCAGGGCACAGCAAGUGGCUUAGUUUGGCAUGAUCCUGAAUGGGUGUAGCGCAUAAUAUGGUCGGAAAGGUCAGUGGGAGCCAGACUGUGAAGGAACUUGAAUUCCAGACUAAGGCGUUCAAAUGUGUUAUGGAGACAGUGAUCACUGAGGAUGGAGGUUUUCUGAGUGGACCAUGGAAUUGUUGAGGAGGGCAAAUGAGAGAUGCCUGGACCAUGGCCACUGCACUCAUAUCCCCCAUUUUUAUCAAAUCAAAUAUGUGUGCACCUGUUUCUCUGGCUGAUGUCAGGAAAUCCUUUGAUAUUUCCUCAGGGUAAUAUUUUCCUUGUAUACCUCAAAAAGGGAAACUGAAAAUCCUAUGAGUAUUUCCAAGAAAUGGGCUGUCCCAGGGCAGUGAGCCCUGACUUCUGCCCGACAAAACAGGUCUGCUUUGGACAGGGUGUGCACUGCACACAUUCAAUUGAUAGCAAUGGGAAAAACAGAUAUUCCAUCUGCCAACGAUAAAACACAUAAAAUCACACAGGAAUGUACAGUAUGCUGGUUUGAACUACAUAGGUGUUUGCCUCAACUGGAGAGAAAAGACCUGCCUAUUUAUGUCCCCUGGUAAGGACAUUAGUGAGGAAAAGCUUUGAUGUUUAAGCAAUCAUAUAAUUGACUUUACUGUUGGAUCCAGAAGUCCAGGGUUGGUUUCAGGAAUGAGCACUGAACAUUUUUAAUGGCACUAUGAGUAAAGGAGGCGUGUGGUGAAAAAUGUUAGGCAGAUAGAUUAUUAUCUGAAAUAUUCUGAUUAUACAGAUUUUAAACAACUUUCCCUCUCAACAGGUACAUCACCAGCAUUGCUGAAUUUAGGUUUUAGGUUCUGUAUCUCUGGGAAUCUAAAAUCAACAGAGAUUCUUAAAUGUGGUGGCCAGCGAUUUUGUACAAGUUUUGAGAGGACAGGGUAGAUGGAAAGGACUCAGAUGGCUGCAGAGGACACAUCUGUCCUGUGAUUUUGCGAUUAGAAUCAGAGCCAGUUUCUCAUCCUUUUACUUCACCCCACAUAUCCAAUGAAUUUGCCCAGUCCUAUCAAUUCGUCUUUGACAAAACUACAACCAUCUGCUUCUUUUUGUCAUCAGCUUACUCCAGGACUUCAUAGCCUUCUUCCUGGAUUAGUGUAAUAGUUUCCUAACUGAUUUUCCUGCCUUCAGCCUCCUCUUUCCCCAUCCAAUCUGCAGACUACCUCCUUUUUCCCCUAUCCAACCUGCAACCAUUCCAAACUAACAUUCUUAAAAUACUACUCUCUCUGUGUUACUCAUCUGCUCAUACCACCACAUGGUUCCCCUACUCUACAGCCUGCCAGUGAAGUGCUCUUGAUUAAGUACACCAAGGAGCAGAUACCCCUCUGUUUGAGCUUUUAUCAGCACACACCUUGCACUGUGCCACACUAUUUACAUUUUUUUUUUUUUAGAUAUUUUCCCCCUUUCAUCCUGUCCAUUGGUUAACAUGCUCUUUUCCCUAACCUUCCCCUUUAUCAGCCUAAAUCUCAACUUUUCCAUACUUACUCCAGUCCAUAUUGGCUUCUAAGUUUUCAGAGUGUCUUUCUAAAUUUAUGCCUGAACUCCUAACUCUGGUGCUAAGUUAUGGACUGCCUUGUUUGAUUAUGUAAUCACUUGACAUCCGAGUAAAUGUCCCCCAAAACAGUUUUAUGUGCCGUUAAAGAAAGGUUUGUUUGUGGUUCCGCUUUUGCAACCUCUCCUGUUCAGCAGUUUUAUAGAAGGAUUUAAAAAUAAAUGAUUUUUUAAAUGAAUUGAAUUGAAUUGC